CCUACGGGAGGCAGCAGUGGGGGAUAUUGCACAAUGGGGGAAACCCUGAUGCAGCGACGCCGCGUGGGCGAAGAAGUCUUUCGGUAUGUAAAGCCCUAUCAGCAGGGAAGAAGAAAUGACGGUACCUGAGUAAGAAGCACCGGCUAAAUACGUGCCAGCAGCCGCGGUAAUACGUAUGGUGCAAGCGUUAUCCGGAUUUACUGGGUGUAAAGGGAGCGCAGGCGGCACGGCAAGCCUGAUGUGAAAGCCCGGGGCCGAACCGCGGGACUGCAUUGGGUACUACCGGGCUGGAGUGCCGGAGAGGUAGGCGGAAUUCCUAGUGUAGCGGUGAAAUGCGUAGAUAUUAGGAGGAACACCAGUGGCGAAGGCGGCCUACUGGACGGUGACUGACGCUGAGGCUCGAAAGCGUGGGGAGCAAACAGGAUUAGAUACCCUGGUAGUC
rnacentral:rRNA from 1 species